GAGAGAUAUAGUAAUUCAGUUGUAAAGUUUAAUUGGUGCUGUAAAGAUGAGUACAGCUCUAUUCCGUUUUGCAAUGGUUUUAAUAACUAUCGCAGCCUUUACUACGAAUUGCUUUGCUGGAUGUGGGUGCGAGGCAUGCGAUUGCGCCAAACAAGAAGUACCUUGUAGAAGUAUCGGCGGACAGUGCACCAAAACAGAAAAAUGUCCGGAAAAAAUACAACAUACAGAAGCGACUGACUGUCCACGUGGAACUACUUGUUGUGUCUGGCUAACUUAAUGCCUAACAUGUUUUUCUCUUCUCCACUCAAUAAAACGUUUUUGUGUAAAGU